GCGAGCACAAGUGGGGGAGGGGCAGAGAGAGAGAGAGAGAGAGAGAGAGAAAGACAGAAUCCAAAGCAGGCUCUAGACUCUGAGCUGUCAGCACAGACCCCGAUGUGGGGCUCAAACUCAGGAACCUCGAGAUCAUGACCUGAGCUAAGUCGGAUGCUUAACCGACCGGGCCACCCAGGCGCCCCAGGAGUUGCUUUUUUUUUUAUGUUUUGUUUUGCUUUGUUUCAGUGAAAUGGGAAUGUCCUGAGCUAAGAUGUUCCACCAGCCCAGAAGAAGCCCUUACAAUGAGAAUGCCUUUUAGAGAGGACUCAGAAAAGAUGAACUAAGAAUCCCUGGUGAGGGGCUCGGGUAGAAGUGGUGAGCUCCACCCUGGUUUCAGAUUUAGAGAUUAGUGUCACCGGCGCUUCCUCCAGGCUGUCUCCUGGCUAGCUCCCUUCAGCUGAACAGUUGAGGGUGGCUGUUGGGCUUUUGUUCGCAAGGAAUAAGGAAAAAAAGACUACCCAGACAAGACCAAAGUUUGCUUCCUCCUCCUCCAUAUGAAUUCGUUGGAAUGAAGGCCAGCCCUGAUUCGGCUGAAGAGGGAACAACAGCAUGAAUGCUGGGAGCCAUCGGAGAGGCUGGUUCUUGACGAUGUCAGGAUCCCCUCUGAAACAACGUAACCAUAAUUUCUUAGCAUCAUCAACUAUGGAGCCACUGUCUACACUUUUCUCAACUGUUUGCUUCAAUCAGGAUCCAAAUGAGUUCCAUAUAUUGUGAUUUGUCAUUAUUUCUCUUAAGCCCCUUUUAAACUAUAGAUUCCUCCUUCCUUUCUUCCUUUUUUUUUUCCUCCACCUUGCGGUUUGUGUGUUGAACUCGUAGAGGUUUGAUGAGGUGUAAAUGAGGCAAUAUGGAUAACACAACCAACAUGGUGCAGGUGAAACUCGGCCUAGAGCUGGCCGACAUGCUGACUUCGUGUGGAUGAGAGAGAGGUCCCCCUCCCUCACAAGAGGACAUGAUUGAACACCCUGGACGCUCAUCCACCUCUGGCCAUUGAUGGGAAGUAUUGGCUCCAGGGUGUGAUAAGUAGUGCUCGGUCUAAAUUCACCUGGGAGGUGGUUCCACAAUUCAAACCCUAAAAGUCAUUGGUCGGGGGGCACCUGGAUGGCUCCGUCAGUUACGCCUCUGACUUCAGCUCAGGUCAUGAUCUCGUGGAUCAUGGGUUCGAGCCCUGUGUCAGGCUCUCCGCUGCCAGCACAGAGCCCGCUGCAGAUCCUUGGUAUCCCUCUGUCUGCCACUCUGCC